rnacentral:rRNA from 1 species
AUUGAACGCUGGCGGCAGGCUUAACACAUGCAAGUCGAGCGGAGAUGAGGUGCUUGCACCUUAUCUUAGCGGCGGACGGGUGAGUAAUGCUUAGGAAUCUGCCUAUUAGUGGGGGACAACAUUCCGAAAGGAAUGCUAAUACCGCAUACGUCCUACGGGAGAAAGCAGGGGAUCUUCGGACCUUGCGCUAAUAGAUGAGCCUAAGUCGGAUUAGCUAGUUGGUGGGGUAAAGGCCUACCAAGGCGACGAUCUGUAGCGGGUCUGAGAGGAUGAUCCGCCACAGUGGGACUGAGACACGGCCCAGACUCCUACGGGAGGCAGCAGUGAGGAAGAUUGGACAAUGGGGGGAACCCUGAUCCAGCCAUGCCGCGUGUGUGAAGAAGGCCUUAUGGUUGUAAAGCACUUUAAGCGAGGAGGAGGCUACUGAGACUAAUACUCUUGGAUAGUGGACGUUACUCGCAGAAUAAGCACCGGCUAACUCUGUGCCAGCCGCCGCCGUAAAAC